UUAUGCGGCUGGUCCAGCCACUAGAUAUUGUAGAAAACAUUAUGCCGAUACAAAACAGCAAAAAUAUUUUGAUGCUUUCGAAGUCGGAACUAAGCUAGGAAUCCAAAUAAGUAAUCAGUUAGAUCCAUUCUUCACGGAAACACAAAAAGGUUCUGUGAAGCCUCGAACACGUUCAAUAAAAAGUGUUAGUUUUGAUUUGUCGUUAACUUCAAGUAGAGACAGUUCCGUUACAACAGAAUUUGCUACCCCUGGUCCUUCUGAAUCAAUUCAUAGCAAAACAUCUAAGCAAUCGUAUGAUUUGGACGAAUUUCAAAAAGUUCCUACAUUUAAGAAACCUCAUGUGGCAUAUUACUUACUGCCUGGUGGUCUACAGUACUUAGAGGUUCGACCUCCUGGGAUGAGGGUACCUCAUCACUAUUUACA
rnacentral:misc_RNA from 1 species